UACGUAGGGUGCAAGCGUUAAUCGGAAUUACUGGGCGUAAAGCGUGCGCAGGCGGUGAUGUAAGACAGGUGUGAAAUCCCCGGGCUCAACCUGGGAACUGCAUUUGUGACUGCAUCGCUGGAGUGCGGCAGAGGGGGAUGGAAUUCCGCGUGUAGCAGUGAAAUGCGUAGAUAUGCGGAGGAACACCGAUGGCGAAGGCAAUCCCCUGGGCCUGCACUGACGCUCAGGCACGAAAGCGUGGGGAGCAAACAGG
rnacentral:rRNA from 1 species